rnacentral:piRNA from 1 species
GUGUCCAGAAGGCCAGAUGAAGGCGUCAGA